UACGAUUUUUUAUCAACAAAUAUUCAUACGGCUGAUUUUAAACUGAAAAGGGUUAAAUUUUAGUUAUGAAUUAUAUAAUUCUAAGGGGUAAAAAAGGAAUUUCAAAGUAUAACCAAAAUUUCAUAGCCUGGGAAAGGCCUUGCUUCUCUAAUUACCCCUAAAAGCAGCCUCUUAUUUUUACGUUCUGAUAUUCGAGGGGUGAUCUCAAGCCUCAAGGUAAGAUUUUGCACAGGUGAAGGCAAAUGGUUUCGUGCUAUCCUUCAACGCCCGGGAAGCUGGCAAUGAAUGUGGGCUGCUUCAUAUUUGGAGGAGCUCUUUUUGCUGUUGGCGCACAUCUGUCUUAUGCCAACGUUGCUCCUCAACAAGCCAGAACAAAAGCUCGCGCUGAAGCUAUCAGAGAGAAGCUAAGAAAGAAAUAUGGGUGUGGCAAACCAUAGACCACACAGAGUCUCAUGCAAAUGUCAAGCACCCACGUGCACUUUCAUUUUGGUUUAAAGUUCGUUAACGACAUUCUACCGUGGAACAAAUAAUUUCGGCUGUCGGUCUAGCCCAUUAUGUGUUUGUAUUUUCUUAUUUAUCAUCAAAUGCAUUUGUUGAUCACUUACUGCCAUUGGAGAACAUUCAAUCAUACAUUUACUUCAAGGUUCA